UACGUAGGUGGCAAGCGUUGUCCGGAAUUAUUGGGCGUAAAGAGCUCGUAGGCGGUUUGUCGUCGUCUGCCGGUGAAAGUCCGGGCUCCAACUCCGGAUACUGCGGUGGGUACGGGCAGACUAGAGUGAUGUAGGGGAGACUGGAAUUCCGUGGUGUAGGCGGUGAAAUGCGCAGAUAAUCAGGAGGAACACCGAUGGCGAAGGCAGGUCUCUGGGCAUUAACUGACGCUGAGGAGCGAAAGGCAUGGGGAGCGAACAGG
rnacentral:rRNA from 1 species